GAUCCUGGCUCAGGACGAACGCUGGCGGCGUGCCUAACACAUGCAAGUCGAACGGGGUAGCAAUACCCAGUGGCGGACGGGUGCGUAACACGUGAGGAACAUGUCUUUCGGUGGGGGAGUAGCCGGCCCAACGGCCGGGUAAUACCGCAUACGCUGACUUGAGCUCCUGCUCGAGUUCGGAAAGCAGCAAUGCGCCGAUUGAGUGCCUCGCGGCCUAUCAGCUAGUUGGUGAGGU
rnacentral:rRNA from 1 species